AACGGUUCCCAUAACCGGGAUUAAAAGGGAACGCCGUGAAAAUCGGCGACAGUUCCCGCUGCUGUGAACCCCGUCCGCUGCAGAGCGGUCGCAGCUUUCAAGAAACGUCACUGUCGUUUUACCAAAAGACGAUGGGAAGGCUUUGGAAGUGGGGUGAGUCAGAAGACCUGCCUUUGCGA
rnacentral:ncRNA from 1 species